GGCGGUGGAAACUUGGAAACUAGAGUUCGGUAGGGGUAGCAGGAAUUCCCAGUGUAGCGGUGAAAUGCGUAGAUAUUGGGAAGAACAUCGGUGGCGAAGGCGUGCUACUGGACCGUAACUGACACUCAGGGACGAAAGCUAGGGGAGCGAAAGGGAUUAGAUACCCCUGUAGUCCUAGCUGUAAACGAUGGAAACUAGGUGUGGCUUGUAUCGACCCGAGCCGUGCCGUAGCUAACGCGUUAAGUUUCCCGCCUGGGGAGUACGCACGCAAGUGUGAAACUCAAAGGAAUUGACGGGGGCCCGCACAAGCGGUGGAGUAUGUGGUUUAAUUCGAUGCAACGCGAAGAACCUUACCAGGGCUUGACAUGUCGCGAAUCUCGGUGAAAGCUGAGAGUGCCUUCGGGAGCGCGAACACAGGUGGUGCAUGGCUGUCGUCAGCUCGUGUCGUGAGAUGUUGGGUUAAGUCCCGCAACGAGCGCAACCCUUAUUUUUAGUUGCCAGCAUUAAGAUGGGCACUCUAGAAAGACUGCCGGUGACAAACCGGAGGAAGGUGAGGACGACGUCAAGUCAGCAUGCCCCUUACGCCCUGGGCUACACACGUACUACAAUGGUUGGGACAAAGGGCAGCGACUCCGCAAGGAAUAGCGAAUCUCAUCAAACCCAGCCUCAGUUCAGAUUGCAGGCUGCAACUCGCCUGCAUGAAGGAGGAAUCGCUAGUAAUCGCAGGUCAGCAUACUGCGGUGAAUUCGUUCCCGGGCCUUGUACACACCGCCCGUCACACCAUGGAAGCUGGUCACGCCCGAAGUAGUUACCCUAACCUUUCGAGGAGGGGGAUUCCUAAGGCAGGGCUAGUGACUGGGGUGAAGUCGUAACAAGGUAGCC
rnacentral:rRNA from 1 species